rnacentral:rRNA from 1 species
GGCGACGACGGGUAGCCGGCCUGAGAGGGCGACCGGCCACACUGGGACUGAGACACGGCCCAGACUCCUACGGGAGGCAGCAGUGGGGAAUAUUGCGCAAUGGACGAAACUCUGACCCAGCGACGCCGCGUGCGGGAUGAAGGCCUUCGGGUUGUAAACCNCUUUCAUCAGGGAAGAAGCGAAAGUGACGGUACCUGCACAAGAAGCACCGGCUAACUAUGUGCCAGCAGCCGCGGUAAUACAUACGGUGCAAGCGUUGUCCGGAAUUAUUGGGCGUAAAGAGCUCGUAGGUGGUUCGUCACGUCGGAUGUGAAACUCUGGGGCUUAACCCCAGACCUGCAUUCGAUAC